GAUGAAGAAACGCAGCGAAAUGCGAUAAGUAAUGUGAAUUGCAGAAUUCAGUGAAUCAUCGAAUCUUUGAACGCACAUUGCGCCCCCCAGUAUUCUGGCGGGCAUGCCUGUUCGAGCGUCAUUUCAACCAUCAAGCCCUGCUUGUGUUGGGGUCCUGCGGCUGCCCGCAGGCCCUGAAAACCAGUGGCGGGCUCGCUAGUCACACCGAGCGCAGUAGCACAUCUCGCUCAGGGCGUGCGGCGGGCUCCAGCCGUUAAAGCACCCACCUUUCGCAAGGUUGACCUCGGAUCAGGUAGGAAGACCCGCUGAACUUAAGCAUAUCAAUAAGCGGAGGA
rnacentral:misc_RNA from 1 species